GUUAAAAAGAAGAAUGAAAACCCCUCAAGCCACAGUUUAUGACUUUUUAUGUCACACUGAAAAGUCAUGUGAACUACAGAUGUGAACCAUGGAGAUUUGUGCCCUCCUACGAAACGGUGACUGUAACACAGAUUGAUGAAAGAUUCUGCAGGACGACAAAGGUUAAAGAUGCGGACCCGGAGCUAGAAACCAGCGCUGACACUGAUGGAGUGGACCGCGAUGAGAAUGCCCACAUUAUGGUCCUAUCCUCUGAUAACCGAUGUAAUAUGAAAACCGACUACAGAAGAAAGGAACAAAUUAAAUCCAUUAAUCAAGCAUAUCUCUGCUAAACAGUUGUUCGAAACUGAUGAACAAAUGAAAAAUUUACUGUUUGUUUUCAUGCUUGCAAGGAUUGGGGAAGAAAAUUAAUUAUAAGGUACUGGCCACACUA